UACCAGCUCUCCGAGUUGUGGGGACGAUUAUUGGGUCUAAAGCAUCCGUAGCCGGCUGGGCAAGUCCUCUGUUAAACCCAGCGACAAAUCGUUGGCUUGCGGGGGAUACUGCUUGGCUAGGGGGCGGGAGAGGCCGUCGGUAUUCUCGGGGUAGGGGUGAAAUCCUAUAAUCCCGGGAGGACCACCAGUGGCGAAGGCUGUCGGCUAGAACGCGCCCGACGGUGAGGGAUGAAAGCUGGGGGAGCGAACCGGAUUAGAUACCCGGGUAGUCCCAGCUGUAAACGAUGCAGGCUAGGUGUUAGGGCGGCUACGGGCCGCUCUAGUGCCGCAGGGAGGCUGUUAAGCCUGCCACCUGGGGAGUACGGCCGCAAGGCUGAAACUUAAAGGAAUUGGCGGGGGAGCACCACAAGGGGUGAAGCUUGCGGUUUAAUUGGAGUCAACGCCGGAAAUCUCACCGGGGGCGACAGCAGAGUGAAGGCCAGAUUGAAGGUCUUGCCAGACGAGCUGAGAGGAGGUGCAUGGCCGUCGCCAGUUCGUGCCGUGAGGUGUCCUGUUAAGUCAGGCAACGAGCGAGACCCGCAUCCCCCGUUGCCACCAGCCUUGAGCUGAGCACACUGGGGAGACCGCCGUCGAGAAGACGGAGGAAGGAGCGGGCCACGGCAGGUCAGUAUGCCCCGAAUCUCCCGGGCCACACGCGAGCUGCAAUGGCAGGUACAAUGGGUUCCGACCUCGAAAGGGGAAGGCAAUCUCUAAAGCCUGCCGUAGUUGGGAUCGAGGGUUGAAACUCACCCUCGUGAACAUGGAAUCCCUAGUAAUCGCGUGUCACUAGCACGCGGUGAAUACGUCCCUGCUCCU
rnacentral:rRNA from 1 species